rnacentral:lncRNA from 1 species
GGCUACCGCCGGUCUAUCCCACUGUCACCCCAUGCCGCCCUGCCUCUGCAUCACCAUCCCACGCCGCCCUGCCUCUGUAGCACCGCCCCACACGCUGCCCCGUCCCCACAGCGCCGCCCAAUUCCGACAUGCCUCUCCACCGUCGGCUCCACACCCUCGGGCUCUCUCUCCGGUUGGCCGCCUCUCUCCAACCUCCCUGGCCCAACCCCCCAUCUCCAUCAUCCAGCUCAUGAAGACACACGCAGUGGCGGUGGCGGCGAAGAUUUGGAUCUGGGCCGCGUGCGGCUGGGCAAAGACAUCCCUCUCUGUCUUUGGCUGGGCAAGGGCAUCGAUGCGGCUGAGGUACAACUCCUUCCUUGCCGCAUCAAUUUUUUUGUACAAAGUUUGUUAAGAGAUGAACUUGGAGUGAAGGAGUUCGCCGUGGUUUUUGGGUGGAAGACUCUGUUAUUUGCCCCGUCAGUACUCUGUUGGUAGACACUGUUUAUGUAGAUUCAAUUUUUUUUACAGUACCGAGUUAUGUUAGAUGGAAAUAGAUUUAUGUUAGAUUUAUUUUUUAUUACAAUACUGAGUUAUGUUGGCAUCCUACAGCUUCUUUGUCAAAAAUUGUGAAAAUAACUAGGUUCUCUUGAAAACGAAGCUUCUUUGUAGCACCAAUGGAUGUGUUUCUAGUGUCUGUGUUGCUCCAGCUGAUCACAUUUAUUGGCUGAAUUCAUGAGAAUGGCGCGUAAGCAUACUGCCAUCCAACUGCCCAAAUACUUGCUUAACUUUUUCUUACUGAAAUCUUCACCAUGUCAAAUUUCCUUCAAUGCCAAGUUCAAAUAUUGUGAGGAAACAUUUAUGGUAUAAUAAUCACUGCUGCUAUUGAAACGAUGCAUUUGACCUGACUAACAGCGGCAAGAUGUCAUCCAUGAGGUGGGGUAAUAUAACUGGUGGCUCAAACUUACUUUUAUAACUAAGGGCCAAACAAUGGAUUGAAAUAGAAUGUAGCACAAGACUCGUUGUUCUCUUUGUACAUGUGACCUGACUUUUAUCUCUCAUUUUUUCUACAGGUAGAACAGAGGACAGAUGCUGGUAACGUUGAGCCAACAAAGAGAAGUAGCAGAAUAUUUGCUAUGCCACUGUAGUGCAUAAGGUGUGUGGAGUGUCCAGUGUUUAUUUUUCUUUUAGUAUAUUGUUUCUUGAUGUAGUACCUCAUAAGUCUUGUGUACCAUCCUCUAAUGUUUUGUACAGCAGUAGAUGAUUGAGUACUAUAUUUGUCGAUCAGUAGAUGGUCUAUGGUCAUGGUUGAUUGCUUGCUUCAUUGAUUGAAGAUUCAUAUUUUGAUCCAUGCUGCCUCUAAUGUGUUUGAGGACUAAGAUUCAUAUUAAGUGUCAUUUUAUAAUGCUAUGACUAAUGGUAACUAAACGUGAUUGCUCAUCAUCUCUGCUAAUUUUCCCUAAGUUUUCAAUUUACUAGUUUAUAUGGGCUAUAAUUUUACUUUAUCGGUAUUCAGUUUUAUUAAGUCUUUUAAUUUGUCUAGCACUUCGGUUUAUUUUUCUUAAAUUUUUUAGUUUCUUCGAUCUAGCUAUUUUCUUUCAUUUUCGCUUUGCCGAGUUUCUCCUUUUGAGUUUCUUAGUCAUAUAUCUCACUCCCAUUCAUAGCUACAGUGAGUUGUUCUUUUUCCCAUAGGCAGCGUGCUGAUGUUGCUUCAUUACUUCUCCAUAGAGCAUGGGGAGCUUUUAUCGUUCUUGGAUUUCAUAAAAUAGAAGAGAUGACAGAAAUGGGGUGGGAGGUAUGUGGAAACAGAGCUUCUUACUUGUGGCAGUAGACGACUAGGCAGUUCAUGCAGGUCAGCCCUCAACACCUGACUCCCUUGAUCGGUGUCUUCCUCUUCUCCACUCAUCUAUAGAAGUGAGCCCAACAAAUACUAUUUUUGGCUGAGGCUAGAAUCGUGCACCGGAGCAUAAAACGUUUAGUUGUUAAACAUGUUUCUGUAACAAGUGAGCUAUCCAUCCUGACCAUGUAGGAGUAACACAUUAACUGCUGGGUGGUGCUUUCAGGCUCUGGAAACAUGAUGUCUCUGUACUCUGGUAUGGGAUGGUGCACUUUUAAUGACGAAAAGAAUGGCACGCACUCCAAAUAUCUUCCUAGAAAGUGGAUUAACUGAAGAAGAAUCUACUACAGGUAUUAAACAGAGUCCACACCGGGUGUUAGCUUUGCACAGUUACAAUUUGUGCUCGUGUUUUUCAGUGUGAAUCACCUGUAUUGAUAUUCUUGCUGAAAUUUCAGUUAAUCUUAAUUGACUCCUGCAUACAUUAACAGCUACCAAGUUCAUUAAUAAAUAUGUAGUUCUACAAACAGCCUGGGAUUAAUAAAUAUGUUGACCUGAUUUUUUAGUUGCAGAAGUUGUUGCCAAAAAGUCUAAUGGCAAAGUAAAAUGGAACCUAUUUAGCUUUGUUGUUCAUUUUUAUGUCCUAGUGCAACUUGAGAGAACAAGCAAUAUUAAGUGACCUUGCUAUUUACUUCUGACUGGCAUACAUGACUACAUGUAGUUCACCAAAACAAUCUUCAGUUUUCCUAUUAUUUUUGUGAUACAAAAGGAAUACUUGUAUACUUCAUAAUGUUCCCUUGUUAAAUCAUAUCGUAACAUCAUGUUCUAUUAUUUCCCAGAAGUAAGAUCUGGUUACAAUCAAUCUGAAAGGCAAAAUGAAUUCUGUGUGUGGGGAACAACAUAGCAGGUGAAUCUUAUCUGAACAGGGACGCCUUCCUCAUCCUGCCACUUAGGUAAUUUCUGUCACUUAGCUAGAACUGUUUGCUUACAUUCAUCUAUUGAUUGAAGAAAUUAGAACGUACCGCUAAAAUGAUUAAUAUGUAUGGAUUCUCUUUGAUAAAUAUAUGGUAGCGACAAUGUCCAAAGAUCCAUGCAAAACAUUCACUCAACAAUAGCCUUUUUAUUUUUUUGGUGGGGAGACAAGAAGAACUAAUAAAAUCAUUUUUAGUGAUAAUGUCCGACUUUUGUAAUUUUCAGCAAGCGAAAGAGAAGUACAGUUACCCACUUUUAGAUUUUAUGCUUCAGCCUUAUAGCAUUGCUGUAGUAUAUGAAUAUUAUAUUUGCAUGUUUGUAUUAAUUAUAUGAAAAUUUUAGAGAUGAACAGAACGAUGCUACUCUCAAAUCAUAUAGCAAAAACUACAUGUGUAGUUUCCCAUAGAGUAAUAAUUGUCAUAUAUACAACUAGGUUUAGAUCAUCCAAUAGAGUUAGGGUCAGGUUCAAGCUGUGUUACAUAGCAACUUGUAAGAAAUGCAAAACCUUCAUCUUAGGACGCAUUUUGUUAAUAUGUGCUUUGAUGGACUGAACAGGAUCACUUGCGUAUCUCUGAACUGAGAAUACAAUCGAGUUUCUAAUCCUACUAACAUAUAACAUACAUGGUUUCCCUGGGAGGUAAUAGUUUUGCAUUCACGCCUGCACAAGUAGGGUGGCCAUUACAGAUGACCUGAAUUGUGCAAAUUUACGACCUUAAGUAGCAACUAGUAGAUGCUUAAUGAUUGAUUGCCAGCUCGCUUUCUUCUGUAGUGAGUUUAGCUAAAGUAUUGAGCUGAUGUAUUUCGUUGUGCAGAUUGAGCUGAUGCUUUGUUUUGUUUCUGCCAUUGACUAUGAAUGCAUGAAUUUACUGAAUGAUUAUUUACCCUUUGUAGGAAAGACAUACAAGACGAGGAAGGAACUAUGGAGAUAGUUUGCGUCAACUAGAUAGUUUGUGUAAGGUGCAAAAUAAUGCACCAUUUGGCUAUCAUUUUGUAAGCCUUUAUGUUGUAUUGUCAACUGGAUGUUUUGUACAAAAUCAAUGACAUGCAUCUAUUAUUGUAUCUUGAUUGAUAUUGUGUUGGAUGUUAUUGUAAUGAGAUAUUUUAUGUGACUUUAUUGACAUUCUGUUAGUAAGGCAAACGUGGGAGGGUAAUUAUUGUUUUGUUUAGC